GGCCAAGAUAGGCCCAAAAGAAGGGGGCACUGGGCGUUAGGGGCGCAGGUCCAGCCAGUUAGCAAGGGCGGCGCGCUGGGAAGAGUGGUGUAUUUUCACGCCGACACCCGUAUUUUCUUGGCUUGCCUCAAGCCGUCUCUGCGUGACUCGUUACCCCGCCGAAGCCACCCGGCAUCCCAAAGCACGAGCCUGGCGCCUCCUAUUCCACGCGGAAGUGCCCGAGUGACCCUGUGAAGGACCUCCCUCCCCUCACACACGCACAUACACAAGCCCAUGUGGGAGCCCGAGUGACGUGUGCUCGGUGGUCAUGCACCAUCAUUUCCCUUCCACCUUCCUCCUCGCCGCUUCCUCUCCCUCCACCGCGCAGCUCCAGCCGCCUUGCCGCCGCCGCAUCCCCUUCCAAGUUCAGGCUGUGGGUGGAACCUGUUGCUUUAGCUCACGUUUCCCUUCCCCUCCGGGCUGCACGCUGAGGAUGACCUCAGCGAGGUGUGUGUAAGGGGAAUGGAGGGGAUCCAGGGCCUCUCAGAGUUCACCUGAGCUUUCCCAAGUCUGGUUUGUUCUCUCUACCCUGCUGCUACUACUGCAAGUGACUUUCACAAGAUGCUUCUGAGCAUAGCAUUGCUCUGCUGUGACCACUGCAGAUGUCAAGAGAAUUUCUGCCUUUUGGAACUUGGACAAUAUUGGCCACCUACCCAGAGAGAGGAGAAGGAUAAUCCAGACAUAAAGGUAGCUCCCACACAUCCUUUGGAUCUCUGAUAAAGAGUCAUAUACUUAAAGAGCCAUCCUCACAUUCCUGCCCAGACUGUGAGCUGCAUGAGAGAGGCCAUGUCUCAUUUUGUUCCAUUACAUCUCCAGCACUUAAGAGUGCUGGACACAUAACGAGUGUCUGACACAUAACGAGUGCUGAAUAAAUGUUUGUUAACUGAUAAAAUG
rnacentral:lncRNA from 10 species